CCUACGUGUGGCAGCAGUGGGGAAUAUUGGACAAUGGGGGGAACGCUGAUCCAGCGACGCCGCGUGAGUGAAGAAGUAUUUCGGUAUGGAAAGCUCUAUCAGCAGGGAAGAAAAUGACGGUACCUGACUAAGAAGCACCGGCUAACUACGUGCCAGCAGCCGCGGUAAUACGGAGGGGGCAAGCGUUAUACGGAUUUACUGGGUGUAAAGGGGGCGUAGACGGUGCAGCAAGUCUGAUGGGAAAGGUCGGGGCCCAACCCCGGGACUGCCGUGGAAACUGUUUAACUGGAGUACAGGAGAGGUAAGCGGAAUUCCUAGUGUAGCGGUGAAAUGCGUAGAUAUUAGGAGGAACACCAGUGGCGAAGGCGGCUUACUGGACUGUAACUGACGUUGAGGCACGAAAGCGUGGGUAGCAAACAGGAUUAGAUACCCCAGUAGUC
rnacentral:rRNA from 1 species